CAAAAACGUGGCCCCGAAUAGUUCGUGGGUUCUUUGCACCCCAACAUAGUUUUUUCUAUUUUACCGAGCCGUAUGAGUACGAUAGAAGAUGAUCCCGUUCCUAAGAAUUCUUAGCUAAAAUUCGUGGCUAGGAAGAUGAUCGUAUUUAAACCGGCGCCUGCGGAGAGAAACGCUGCUCGGGUAAAAUCUAGCCCCGGGCAAAUUGCUACAGGUUCAUUCAACUUGGAAUAUUUAAUAAAUCCUGCUUGAAACCUAUAGUUUAAAAUAAUGCUUUCCUCUCUAGCUGUAUACCUGGGUCACGCACCCAUAGAUGGAGCCAUCACGUUUGAGUUUUUCCUUACCACUGAUCGUGUAUGUUUUUGUUUUUCUGAAAACGUCCAUAAUGUUAUGAAAUCUCGACCCUUUUCUCCUGGCCAAGAUUCUUUCGCAGGAGACCAUUUUAUUCAAUCCAGCCUCACUUUCUAUCCCUCUCUCCCCCCUCCACCCCCCCUGCAACAUUUGUGAUCAGUAGCUAGAAAAAAAAGAAGAGAGAUCAACAACAGUGGCUGAUUUCUCUGCUGGAAAAGAGGCUCGGAUGGAACUUAGCUAAUCAGUGAUCUAAGAUGCAGGAGGUUAUUUGUCAGUGGCUCUAGAAAGUUGGGCUGAAGUGUGUAGGAAUGGCUGAGGACUAUUAUGGAAGCUGGCUUUUGAAAACCUAGGCAUCUAUCCACCAGUACUGAGAAUUAAAGGUGAAAAAUUGCCCACUCCCCAAGUAAGUGAAGAUGACUUUUAAAGAUAUGGAAGAUAAAGUAGAACUUUUCCACCAUAAAGUAGAACUUCAAUUAUCUUGUGGCGUUUGCAGAAAGUACUACUACUGUGCCUCCAAGGCUUGGAAAGGAUGAUCCAGAAAGAUCCUAUUCUCAAUAGUAAAAAAAUAAAUCCCAGAAUGAUUAAGCAGUGAUUGGCAGCAGGACCUCUUGUGAACUCCUACCUUAUGAGCAUAGAAACUGAACCACACUGAAAGUGUUUGAGAUCAGCAGAUGGUACUUUUGCUGCUUGGAGUCUCAUUUUCACAUUCUCAUUGGCAUCAUAGGCUGAAUGACUUGACCAGCUAUACCAGCCCAGGGACUGGUCUUGAGAAGACUCCUUAUCCAUUAAGAUUUUCUCUUCAGCUUUGACCUGCAGGGCAAGGGUGAUGUUUUGCUUCCAGAAUAACACCCAGGCAGCAAUGUGUGGCUGAUCAGAACCCAUCUAUUAUGAAAGAACUGUGUCCCUUUGGAUACCUGAUACUAUCCCAGCCUUGGACGAAGUCUCCCUUUCUCUCCAGACUGGGGAGCCCCAGCUUCUGCAAGGAUGAGGAAAAGGAGUCGCAGAUGGGAGGGGAGGAUUGCGGAGCUGCAAACCAGCCCUCAGUGCAAACUGAGAACACAAACAAGAGCGAGAAGCUGAUGUGAGCUGGGCUACGUGCCAAUGAGGAGAGCUGGAACACAAUGUACAGAGCACGAGGCAGCAAAGGGAACAGCCUGACUCAGCAACCAGGGAAGUGGGUGUGCUGUGUCGCUAGAUAAACCACUCCUGCGGGCUUGUGGUCAGCAGCAUCAGUCCUCCUGAAACACAGCAACAGACCACGGAGACUGCACGGCAUAAAGAGAGACAUUCAUGGAUUCCAGCUGUCUGUCUAUCUUCACAUUCUUGCCUGCCUCCCAUUUCAAGAUCAGAGAUUCAGGAAGGAGUGUUCCUGCUCUUUUUAUUUUUCUUACUCUGCUUUAGGUUCUGAAGCCAUAGGCCCCACAGAUCUCACUUUAUCCAUCUCUAAAAUGGGAAACAGAAUGAUUGUGUUUAAAAGGACACCAUCAGUCUUGCCUCAGAGAGGAGGCUGUUUGAGAUUCACUAUUGCAGAUUACAUUCUGAAUGCUCAGCACUACUUUUUAAAUCUCUUUUAUUUCCACAGCCUGUACUAAUCGAAGAACAACAGCAAUGUCUUCACGAUGUAUACUUUUGAUUAACAAUUCACCUUACAGUUAGAGAUGGGCUAAUUUCUUACGUGUGGUAUUCCUGAAUUUAUGUCUGCUUUUCAAAUCUAGUUUAAAACCUGUAGAAGCAAAUCUUUGUCCUGACAACUGCCCCCUUAGGCAUUCUAGACCAGGAGCAAAUAGAUUUAAUAGGAUGGGUUAUUUUUGUAACUACAAAAAGUAAAAUAAAUCCUACAAAGAGCCACAGUCAAAACCACUAGUGAAACUGCCUGAUGAUACCUUACUUUGCCCAGGGAGCCAGUAACCUGUGUAGAAAAGAAAAGAAAAAAGAAAAGAAACCUCUGUGCAAGUCAAAAACCGCUGAUCUACUUACAAACGCUCUCUGAUCCAUAACAAGAAGUUGAAUGACAGAUAGUCCUCGACUUACAACCACAAUUCACCCCAAAUUUUAUGUUGCUAAGCAAGACAGUUAUUAAGUGAACUUGGCUCCCUUUUACGACCAUUCUUGCCACAGUUGUUAAGUGAAUCACUAGAAAUGUUAAAUUAGUAACACGGUUGUAAAAUGAAUCUGGCUUCCCUGUUGACUUUGCUUGCCAGAAGGUCACAAAAGGUGAUCACCUGACCCUGGAACACUGAAACCGUCAUAAAGAUGAACCAGUUGUCAAGCAUCACGUGAUCAUGGGGAUGCUGCAAUGGUCAUAAGUGUGGAAAAAUGGUCAUAAGUCACUUUUUUUCAGCGCUGUUGUAACUUUGAACGGUCACUAAACGAGCUGUUAUAAGUCGAGGACUACCUGUACUUUCUGCCCGCCAUUUUUUCAGAAGAUAUAAAAAUAUGGCACUCUCAUUUCCCAAAGAAUAGCUGAGGACAUUCUUGCCCUCUGGAAGCUUUUCUCAGAGGCUUUUGAUGUCUUGAGCCAUAUCCAUCAUCCCCCACCAGCAUAAGUGGAAGCAAAACACAGUUGGCCUUAGCAAUGCUUCAGGCUAGAGAUUACCUUUUCUGACUUAUAUGGGAGCUCAGUGUGAACGCACGAGUUUAAAUCAGGUCAAAACUACAGGAACAAGGUAUUGGCCAACCUCAACCCAUCUCAAAUUACUUGGGGCUGCUGAAAUUCCUGUGCAUGAAUUUCACUUGGACUUUAAAAUGGAUCUUCUUUACUUACAGACUUUCCAAUGACUCCUAGGAAAGAGGCGCUUGCCCCUGACUGGAUGUGGAUAAAUAUGACCUCACAAAUUUGUGGUAUCUGAGGAGCUUUUUUUAAAAAAAAAAUCUUUGUGGCAAACUGCUUGCAGAUUCAUGCAUAGGAAUUUCAACAUAAGUAUUUCGAGGCUUUGGAUGAGAUCCCCUUCAGCAUAAAUUGCUCAUCGUUGUCCCUGGCAGAAGUGUCUGUGCAGAUGACCCAAAAAGUCAAGACGAGGCCACAGCCCUAUGAUCAAAGCCUUUGGCUUUUUUUACACACAUUGGGAAGAGGGGAAGGUUUCAAUUGCACAAUUGUGAGCAGCAUCUUGGCUUUUUUGACUGCCCCCCCUCCCCCGGGGCAGAUAAUACCUGGGACCCUUGGUUAUAUAUCUCCCAGGAGGCAAACUAAGAAUGCAGAAACAGCGAGCAGUUGAAAUGAUGGUGCAGUCUCCAUCGUUUCUAUUUCAAACCGUGGAAUCGUGCUUCCCUUUUUUCUAUUUCUGAUCCUCUUCCCCAAAAUCACCUUACUUUUACACUGCAAAGCCUCAACUUUUUUUUUUUUUUUAUAAAUGAACCACUUGAAAAAUGUACAUAACUCAUUAGACUAAUUUUCAUUCCUGCAGCAUCAUGGAGACCAGUGCUGAACAAUCAUGGACUAGAACUUUGUUGACUAGCCUAUUUGAUAAUCUAGCCUGGUUGAAACAGCCUCGAUUUCCAUCAUCAGAAAAUUGUUUAUAAUCAAGUGAAGGACUAGUUAACUCCAACUAUUCUUCAGACAGCUGGUAGACCACAGUUUGGAAGUUUUUGUUUUAUAGGAAGAUUACAUUUCCUAAGUAGUGUUGUAACAAAGAUGCUCACUUUAGUCUGUGGUUAAGAACUCCUUAAAAUAUACAAAACAUUUACCAGUGGUUAUAGAUGGUUUUCUGCCAUAUACUGUAUGGCUUUAGCCAUCAAACUACCCAUUGCUAAGUCUGGAAGUGAUUUAAGCCUUUUUUUUAAAAAAAAAAACCUGCCAUAAAUUCAGUGUGUAAGCCCAAAAUAUGAACUCGUCUAAAUUAAACAUUAUGUGGCAAGGAUUGCAGAUGAGUGGCACACAUAGGGAAUGUCAUUACCCAGACCUCCAUCAAACAAAAGGGUGACAGAUUUUCAAUGUCCUGAGAAGAAAGUUUCAUGGCAUAGUCUAGAACACCUCCGUGAAAAGAGAGAACAUAGACAGAAAAACCAAGCAUUUAAAUAGCAAUGAAAAAGGGAGGAACAAAAAGAUGUAGGAUAAGCUAGAUAAAAUAAAGUUGAUGAAGAACAGAAUGUUGCUAUGAAAGAAGAGGAACAAAGGGACUGCCAAGAGGUGGAAACACUCAUCAAAAUUAUAUGAGGAAAAAGAAAAAGCUUGACAUCCUAACAGAAAAGAAGGUGGAACAUUCAGUGGAAAUAGAAACACUUUACACAUAUCAUAUCCUACUCUAUUGUAAUUUCUACAGGGUUCUUCAGAAUAGAUAUGUCAUAUGCUUGCUGCAUCAAUACCCAAGAAGAAUGGAUGAUAAUUAUAUGACUCUUCUCUCAGUUAUCUAUCAUUGGUGCAAUAGCUAAAUUUUACAUUGCUGCAAUGGAAAAAAGGCACAGAUGGGCAAGACUGAACACUGUUAUUUUUCCUUUUAUAUUGCGUUUUUUUUCUUCUAAUUUGCUGGUUAUGGAUUAAAAUAAAUAAAAUGUUAGAACGGAAA